AAAAAAAAACAAAAAAAAAAAAACAUCAUCAUCCAAGGACUAGUUUUUGGAAAUGGUUCACUUUGUAACUGUUGUUGAUCAUACUUUGCACUUUAUUUUUACAGUGGUGUCUUUGUGUGUAUGUGUCCACUACAAUGUGUGUCUUACAAACUCUACAAGUAUGCUCUGAAUGUGGCCUGUUAAUACCUUACAUAUUUUAAAGGCUUUUUUUUUUUUAAUUUAGUAAGUGAAAGUGAGAGAGUGUAUUUUUUAGUGU